rnacentral:rRNA from 1 species
CCUACGGGAGGCAGCAGUGAGGAAUAUUGGUCAAUGGCCGUAAGGCUGAACCAGCCAAGUCGCGUGAAGGAAGAAGGAUCUAUGGUUUGUAAACUUCUUUUAUAGGGGAAUAAAGGUAUCCACGUGUGGAUAUUUGCAUGUACCCUAUGAAUAAGCAUCGGCUAACUCCGUGCCAGCAGCCGCGGUAAUACGGAGGAUGCGAGCGUUAUCCGGAUUUAUUGGGUUUAAAGGGUGCGUAGGUUGUUUUUUAAGUCAGCGGUGAAAGUUUGUGGCUCAACCAUAAAAUUGCCGUUGAAACUGGAAGACGUGAGAGUGUUUGAGGUAGGCGGAAUGCGUGGUGUAGCGGUGAAAUGCAUAGAUAUCACGCAGAACUCCGAUUGCGAAGGCAGCUUACUAAGCCAUAACUGACACUGAAGCACGAAAGCGUGGGGAUCAAACAGGAUUAGAUACCCUUGUAGUC